AUGUCUAAGUUUAAGCGUCAAAUCCCCAACACUGUGCAUGGCUCAUUAUAACAGUCACAAUUUGGUUGAUAGUUUAUGUACAUGGAUAUCUUUGGAAAUUCUGUUGUUAAUACGUGCUCAUGAGGAAAGCAUUCAGCUGUGGAUUGUUGUCACUACUGUAUAGAACUAACGCAGGCUAUGCCUGGAGCAGGGAUGAAUCAUAACGAUUGAAUGAAUUGCAGUGUGUCGGCUGGCAAUGAGUUUUGGAAGUUUCUCACCUAUCAGCUUCCGACGGCAGGGCAAUGGCCUACUGUGGCACUGACAGGUGACGGAGGAUUAGGGUUUGACUCCGGAGAGGGAGCCUGAGAAAUGGCUACCACAUCUAAGGAAGGCAGCAGGCGCGCAAAUUGCCCAAUCCUGACACAGAGAGGUAGUGACAAGAAAUAGCAAUACAAGGCAUCCAUGUCUUGCACUUGGAAUGAAAGAACAGUAAACCCCGUUUUGAGUGUCAACUGGAGGGCAAGUCUGGUGCCAGCAGCCGCGGUAAUUCCAGCUCCAGGGGCGUAUAUUAGAGUUGUUGCGGUUAAAAGGCUCGUAGUUGAAUUUCUGCUGGGGUUGGCUGGUCCGUCCU
rnacentral:rRNA from 1 species